AAUCAACGCUGGCGGCGUGCCUAACACAUGCAAGUCGCACGAGAAAACGGUAGCAAUACCGUGAGUAAAGUGGCGCACGGGUGAGUAACACGUGACUAACCUACCCUAGAGUGGGGGAUAACCUCGGGAAACCGGGGCUAAUACCGCAUAAUAUCUUCGACCGCAAGGUUGAUGAUCAAAGGAGUAAUCCGCUUUUGGAGGGGGUCGCGGCUGAUUAGCUAGUUGGUGAGGUAACGGCUCACCAAGGCAGUGAUCAGUAUCCGGCCUGAGAGGGCGCACGGACACACUGGAACUGAAACACGGUCCAGACUCCUACGGGAGGCAGCAGUGGGGAAUUUUGCACAAUGGGGGAAACCCUGAUGCAGCAACGCCGCGUGGAGGAUGAAGGUCUUUGGAUUGUAAACUCCUUUCGAUCGGGACGAUUAU
rnacentral:rRNA from 1 species